rnacentral:rRNA from 1 species
AGUGGACGCUGGCGGUAGGCCUAACACAUGCAAGUCGAACGGCAGCACAGUAAGAGCUUGCUCUUACGGGUGGCGAGUGGCGGACGGGUGAGGAAUACAUCGGAAUCUACUUUUUCGUGGGGGAUAACGUAGGGAAACUUACGCUAAUACCGCAUACGACCUACGGGUGAAAGCAGGGGAUCUUCGGACCUUGCGCGAUUGAAUGAGCCGAUGUCGGAUUAGCUAGUUGGCGGGGUAAAGGCCCACCAAGGCGACGAUCCGUAGCUGGUCUGAGAGGAUGAUCAGCCACACUGGAACUGAGACACGGUCCAGACUCCUACGGGAGGCAGCAGUGGGGAAUAUUGGACAAUGGGCGCAAGCCUGAUCCAGCCAUACCGCGUGGGUGAAGAAGGCCUUCGGGAUGUAAAGCCCUUUUGUUGGGAAAGAAAAGCAGCAGGUUAAUACCCCGCUGUUCUGACGGUACCCAAAGAAUAAGCACCGGCUAACUUCGUG